ACGCUGGCGGCAUGCCUCAUACAUGCAAGUCGAACGAAGUCUUCGGACUUAGUGGCGCACGGGUGAGUAACAUGUGGGAAUCUACCUAAAGGUUCGGAAUAACUGCGGGAAACUGUAGCUAAUACCGGAUGUGUCUGCAAAGAGAAAGAUUUAUCGCCUUUAGAUGAGCCCGCACUAGAUUAGCUAGUUGGUGAGGUAAUUGCUCCACCAAGGCUACGAUCUAUAGCUGAUUUGAGAGGAUGAUCAGCCACACUGGGACUGAGACACGGCCCAGACUCCUACGGGAGGCAGCAGUAGGGAAUAUUGGACAAUGGGGGAAACCCUGAUCCAGCAAUGCCGCGUGAGUGAAGAAGGCCCUCGGGUUGUAAAACUCUUUCAUCAAUGAUGAUAAUGACAUUAGUUGAAGAAGAAGCUCCGGCUAACUUCGUGCCAGCAGCCGCGGUAAUACGAAGGGGGCUAGCGUUGUUCGGAAUCACUGGGCGUAAAGCGUAUGUAGGCGGAUCAAAAAGUUAGAUGUGAAAUCCCUGGGCUCAACCCAGGAACUGCAUUUAAAACUAGUGAUCUAGAAUUUGGUAAAGGUUAGUAGAAUUUCCAGUGUAGAGGUGAAAUUCGUAGAUAUUGGAAAGAAUACCAGAAGCGAAGGCGACUAACUAGGCCAUUUUUGACGCUGAGAUACGAAAGCGUGGGUAGCAAACAGGAUUAGAUACCCUGGUAGUCCACGCAGUAAACGAUGAGUGCUAGUCGCUGGGACAUUAGUUUCAGUGUCGAAGCUAACGCAUUAAGCACUCCGCCUGGGAAGUACGGUC
rnacentral:rRNA from 1 species